UCUCCACGUACAAAGAGUUGCCAUUUUUUUAAAGGCCAAUAUACCCUUGUGUGGUUUCUAAAUCUCUUGUGCCGUUUUUUAACGAAAACUACCCUUCUUUUUUUUCUCUUCUUUUUUUCUUUAUUUUUUUAUUUUUUUAUUUUUUUAUUUUUUUUAACUACUAAAGCGAGCAUUUCAUACAACACGGGUACGAAUACACCCAAUCGAAUCAGAAACCAAAAUGUUCCGAAAAGCUCCGGGCAUCCCUCCCUCCUCAGUCCAUAUAGUGCCUCCUGAGUGGCUCGCUACAUAUACCGCCACCCAGUCGGC
rnacentral:lncRNA from 1 species